ACGCUGGCGGCGUGCCUAAUACAUGCAAGUCGAGCGAACAGAUGAGGAGCUUGCUCCUCUGACGUUAGCGGCGGACGGGUGAGUAACACGUGGAUAACCUACCUAUAAGACUGGGAUAACUUCGGGAAACCGGAGCUAAUACCGGAUAAUAUAUUGAACCGCAUGGUUCAAUAGUGAAAGACGGUUUUGCUGUCACUUAUAGAUGGAUCCGCGCCGCAUUAGCUAGUUGGUAAGGUAACGGCUUACCAAGGCAACGAUGCGUAGCCGACCUGAGAGGGUGAUCGGCCACACUGGAACUGAGACACGGUCCAGACUCCUACGGGAGGCAGCAGUAGGGAAUCUUCCGCAAUGGGCGAAAGCCUGACGGAGCAACGCCGCGUGAGUGAUGAAGGUCUUCGGAUCGUAAAACUCUGUUAUUAGGGAAGAACAAAUGUGUAAGUAACUAUGCACGUCUUGACGGUACCUAAUCAGAAAGCCACGGCUAACUACGUG
rnacentral:rRNA from 1 species